rnacentral:rRNA from 1 species
UACGUAGGGACCGAGCGUUGUCCGGAUUCAUUGGGCGUAAAGAGCUCGUAGGCGGCUGUUCAAGUCGAACGUGAAAACUCGGAGCUCAACUCCGAGCCUGCGUUCGAGACUGGAUGGCUAGAGUCUGGUAGGGGGAUCUGGAAUUCCUGGUGUAGCGGUGAAAUGCGCAGAUAUCAGGAGGAACACCGGUGGCGAAGGCGGGUCUCUGGGCCGAUACUGACACUGAGGAGCGAAAGCGUGGGGAGCGAACAGG